AUGUUGGAUGAUGAACUGAAACAUUCGGAUUCCCAUUGAUUUCCUUAAGAUGAUAUUAUUAACCAGCUACUUCUGACACAU